rnacentral:rRNA from 1 species
UACAGAGGGGGCGAGCGUUGUUCGGAAUUACUGGGCGUAAAGGGCGCGUAGGCGGCCUUCUAAGUCGAACGUGAAAUCCCCGGGCUCAACCCGGGAACUGCGUCCGAUACUGGGAGGCUUGAAUCCGGGAGAGGGAUGUGGAAUUCCAGGUGUAGCGGUGAAAUGCGUAGAUAUCAGGAGGAACACCGGUGGCGAAGGCGGGUCUCUGGGCAGUAACUGACGCUGAGGAACGAAAGCGUGGGUAGCAAACAGG